rnacentral:lncRNA from 1 species
AGAAACUCUGGAAAAUCAAUCUAACAGAGAAAAUAAAAAUUACAGCAUGGCAAAAUUUUAAAAAUUACAUCCCUAGAUACUAUAAUUUGUGUAAUAAGAGGCUGCGGAGUUAAGCAAUGUGUCCAAAAUAUACAAGAGAUGUCGAGACCUCAGAGCAUAGCUUUAGAGAAUGUCUUUCUGUCGAGGAAAUAUAGAGAAGGUUAGAUUUGAAAUGGCCUGAUGAUAUUGCUAAUGUAUCUUUGCAGGAUUGGCUUACUUAUAUUGUUUCCACGUUCCCGAUUACUACAUGUAGAAUUGUGGUAUGUGCUCUAUGGUUUAUUUGGUCUACAAGGAACAUGUUGAUUCAUGAUAAGGUGAUUCUAUUAUCUCAGGACAUAUUGAAAAGGGUUGAGUCCUACAUUAAAGAAGUCGAUGCGAUUCAGUAGAGUUUACCUGUUCGAAGGGUUGAGUAUGAGCGGCGGAGGCCCCUGAAGGAUCCUUUUCUUAAAAGAAAUUUUGACUCAACAUUUCAAGGGAAGGAUAGGAGAUCAUAUAUAGGGAUUGUUAUUAGAAAUGGGAGAGGUCAAGUGGUAGGCUCAAGAGCAAUUGUAAACUGCCACAUACCUACGGGUUUUGCAGCGGAGGCUCUUACAUGUCUCUAGGCAGUGAGUUUGGCGAUUGACUUAGGGAUCCAAGAGGAGAUGCUAGAAGGGGAUGCUCUGUCGGUGAUUAAAAGAUGAAAUCCUGCAGUGAUGAUGGGUCGGUUAUAAGGGCCUAUAUAUAUGAUGCAAAGUUAAAAGUAAAGGAUUUCAAAAAAUGUUUAUUCAUACAUGUUCCCAGGGAUGCAAAAUAAAGUUGCACAUAUAUUAGCUAAAAAGGGGUUGAUGAGGGGUGGGAGUACUUAUUUGGGAGGGUGUGUAUCGGACUUUGUGAGGGAUGCGGUGGAGAACAACUGGUCCGGCAUGCAGAUGGAGGAAGGGGGAAGAAAUGGUAGGUGUCGUCUCUGAUAGAAUCGCAUUGGGUGAUGGAAUUAAGUCCCUUGAGAGGGGUCUCGGAGGUGUAUGAAGGUGAGGGGGGGGGGAGGAAGGGGGUUUAGUUGUCGGACAAGGAAAUGACAGGUUUGGAAGUGGGGGAGGUUAUUGAGGGCUGCUGUUAUCAGGGGUGGGGUUACGAGGUCCGGGGUUGUGGCUGGGUGGGAUGGUUCAAUGAAGGUGGGUUACUUGAGGCGGUGAUGGGUUGCUGAGUUUCUUCGAGUUUCCGAUGAAGUUUCAAGGCAUCUCCGUUAUAAGAAGGAGAGGUGCACGACGUGAUUAAACUAGAAAUAAAAGGUUGUCGUUUGGAUUCCAUGGUACUGCUCAUAGGACAGGAAAAGAGACCAUGAAUAUGGCUUUAGGGAUUGAAAGAGUUUCAGAAUACUCUUCUGAAUGGAUGCUAGCUCAUUGAUGGGUUGUUUUUA